UUAGAGGGAACAUAAGCUAAAACCGUCGCGUUUUGUGACAACGCUUGUGUGACUAACAUUGUGUCGG
rnacentral:sRNA from 1 species